CGUUUCCUACGGGGCGCAGCAGUAGGGAAUCUUCCACAAUGGGCGAAAGCCUGAUGGAGCAACGCCGCGUGGGUGAAGAAGGUCUUCGGAUCGUAAAACCCUGUUGUUAGAGAAGAAAGUGCGUGAGAGUAACUGUUCACGUUUCGACGGUAUCUAACCAGAAAGCCACGGCUAACUACGUGCCAGCAGCCGCGGUAAUACGUAGGUGGCAAGCGUUAUCCGGAUUUAUUGGGCGUAAAGGGAACGCAGGCGGUCUUUUAAGCUUGAUUUGAAAGCCUUCGGCUUAACCGGGGUAGUGCAUUGGG
rnacentral:rRNA from 1 species